GUCCCAUUGCAACCCCAGAGAAGUGGAUCAGCUUAUCUUCGCCAAUCAUGAUCUCCUCGAUAAGUUUGCAGUGGCCAAGUUUGACAGACUCUGGGUUAUCAAAGGUUGAUGCAAUUUCUCCCCCAGUAACUAAGCCCAAACGCUCAAUACCAUCAAAGUCAGCAUGCUCUAUUGCAAGUAUCCCAGCAUCAGCAAAUAGUUCCUCUGGGAAAUUGUAGAUCAGCUGUCGGUUAACAAAGCAAUUUAUUC
rnacentral:lncRNA from 1 species